UACGGAGGGUGCGAGCGUUGUCCGGAAUCAUUGGGCGUAAAGCGCGUGUAGGCGGUCCGGUAAGUCCGCUGUGAAAGUCGGGGGCUCAACCCUCGGAUGCCGGUGGAUACUGUCGGGCUUGAGUACGGAAGAGGCGAGUGGAAUUCCUGGUGUAGCGGUGAAAUGCGCAGAUAUCAGGAGGAACACCAAUUGCGAAGGCAGCUCGCUGGGACGUUACUGACGCUGAGGCGCGAAAGCGUGGGGAGCGAUCCGG
rnacentral:rRNA from 1 species